GCGGCCGGGUAAUACACUGUUGUGGCAGAGGACUUUGCCGUGCGGUCGCUUGCACACUCCUCAUUGCACCCUCGGAGCCGGCGCUGUGCCUUGUGAGAGGGGCAUCUUGGAGGCUGGAGGGCGGCUCUUCUAUCCCGAUGAUGAAGCUGGUUGCUGAUCGACAUAGGGAGGAGGGGGCAGGAUUUUUGUAAAUCUAAGUCAUUUCCUGUUCAGGUUCAUUUCCUGGUUGAGACCCAGUUAUCAGCUGCUGUGCUGUCCCCAUACACAAUAUCCCAUCUAAUUCUCCAUGGAGCUGAGCGCUGCAGAGCAUCUCACCCCUCUGCUGAUCGUCUAGGGGAAGACCCUGGUGAUGUGUGUCUAUGGGGAGCACAGACUACACCCAUUGCUCUAACUAUUAAUGGGUGACACCUCCAAUCCAUCUCCUGUGCAGGAUGCAAUGCUAGGCAGUCAUUAGUGUUCUGUCUGUAGGGCUGUCACCCGAAAUUCUAGCUUUCCACCCUGAUCUUUCCUCAUUGAUUGCCUUGCUGCAGCAGAUCUCUCCUUCCUGUUUAUUUUGGCAUUCACCUCUCUGGUCACCGGGGUGGAGAAGCAUUUUGAAUGAACCAUUUGGCCUGAUCCCGUGGAAAGGAUACGAUUGUUUUUCCUGCUGAAGACUUUUUUUGGGGGGUCAUGAACAUGAAGAAGUUCUUUGACUCCCGGCGUGAAUUGGGUGGAUCUGGACCUGGAGUCGGCGGGGUGGCUUCUAGCGUCCUGGGCACUGGAUACAUUGGCAGAGUAUUCACCAUUGGAAGACACCAAGUGACCGUGGACGAGGUUUUGGCUGAAGGUGGCUUUGCCUUGGUCUUCCUUGUCCGUACGAGUAAUGGGAUGAGACGGGCUGUCAAGCGCCUGUAUGUGAAUAGUGAACACGACCUUCAGGUUUGCAAGCGAGAGAUUCAGAUCAUGAGGGAUCUCUCUGGGCACAAGAACAUUGUCGGGUACAUAGACUCCAGCAUCAAUUCUAUGAGCAAUGGGGAUGUAUGGGAAGUACUUAUCCUCAUGGACUUCUGCCGAGGAGGGCAGGUGGUAAAUCUAAUGAAUCAGCGUUUACAGACUGGAUUUACAGAGAACGAGGUGCUGCAGAUCUUUUGCGACACAUGCGAAGCAGUGGCUCGUCUUCAUCAGUGCAAAAUUCCUAUCAUCCAUCGGGAUCUAAAGGUGGAGAAUAUCCUGCUACAUGAUCGUGGUCACUAUGUGCUGUGUGACUUUGGGAGUGCAACAAAUAAAUGUCAGAAUCCUCAGACUGAAGGUGUCACUGCAGUGGAGGACGAGAUUAAAAAGUACACCACGCUUUCUUAUCGGGCACCAGAGAUGGUAAACCUCUACAGUGGCAAAGUCAUCACUGCCAAGGCGGACAUUUGGGCCCUGGGAUGUCUGCUCUACAAGCUAUGCUUCUUCACGCUGCCCUUUGGGGAGAGUCAGGUCUCCAUCUGUGAUGGGAAUUUUACCAUUCCUGACAACUCCCGGUACUCCCAGGACAUGCACUGCCUCAUCAGGUAUAUGCUUGAGCCAGAUCCAGACACGAGACCUGACAUCUAUCAAGUAUCCUAUUUUGCCUUUAAGCUAGCGAAGAGGGAAUGUCCCGUACCGAAUGUACAUGACUCUACCAUCCCUGCAAAGUUGCCUGAAUCAGUGAAAGCAGGAGAAGCCGCAGCUAAGAAAUCCCAACCGAAGGCCAGGCUGACUGAUCCUGUUCCAACAACUGAAACUUCCAUUGCUCCUCGUCAGAGGCCAAAAGCAGGUCAGACUCAACCCAACCCUGGAAUGCUUCCCAUUCAACCGGCUCUAACACCACGAAAAAGGCCCACAGUGCAGCCAGCUGCUGCCCCACCAGCCGCUACAAUCCAGCCCACGGCCCCUGCUUCUGUGCAGCCUACUGCAAAACCUAUUACUCAGCCCCAGCAAGCACCUAAACCAGCCCAAUCAUCUCAGCAACCGGCCACUCCUGUCACCACUGCUGCUCAGACUGCAGCUCCUGCGCAGCCGCCUGCAACUCCAACUGCCCAGCCAGCAUCUCAUCCACAGCAGCAACUUUAUCUCAAGCAACAGCAACUUCUGCAGCAGCAACAGGCAGCAGCUCUGUAUCAGCAGCAAAUGCUCCAAGCUCAGCAGAUGCAGGCCAUGCAGCAGCAGCAGAUGCUUCAAGCCUACUACAUACAACAGCAGCAGCAGCAACUCCUGGCUCAGCAGGCUGCCAUGCAGCAAAAAGUGGCAGCCCCAAUGCAGGCUCCUGCCCAGCCACAAGCUGCACCAGUAAAUGUCCAAAUAUCUGCCGCUCAGGAACAGGGGCAGAUCCAAGCUCCAGCAAGAGCCUCUCAAAAGCCGCAGCCAGCAACAACGCAACCCACUGCAGGACCUAAACUGGGCUCCCUCACCCCUCCUUCCUCUCCUAAGACACAACGUGGGGGACACAGGAGGAUCCUGAGCGAUGUCACACACAGCGCCGUCUUUGGUGUUCCUGCUAGUAAAUCUACACAACUACUACAGGCCGCUGCGGCGGAGGCAAACCUCAAUAAAUCCAAGUCGGCUACUACAACCCCCUCUGGUUCUCCAAGGACCUCACAGCAGAAUGUCCACAACCCACCAGAGUCUUCUGGUUGGAAUCCAUUUGAUGAUGACAACUUCUCCAAACUCACUGCUGAGGAAUUACUCAAUAAGGAUUUUGCCAAGCUGGGAGAAAGUAAACCCCCAGAGCAAUUAGGCAGCUCUGCAGAGGAUCUUCUGUCUGGCUUCCCAGCGCCCCCUGCUGUCUCACAAGCUGAUGCUUUUGGACCUUCUCUGUUUUCUGGUGGAGCAGCUGUGGAUAAACCUGUUGACUUGCAGGGUCAGGAUCCCAGUCCUCCGCUGCAUAAAACUCCUGACCCCUUCUUACCUCUUCCUAUCUCUGAAACUCCAGAGAAAUUGAUUGAGGGUCUCAAAUCUCCAGAGCCGCAGCUUCUGCUUCCUCACCUUGUUCAGCUGGCAGAUCCUUUUGGGAGCACCUCUGAGGCUGUGAAUGGGAAGACAGAGCCUGUGGUGGAAAGCCUCAUUCCUGGGCUGGAGCCUCCCAUGCCUCAGCGCCUCUCUUCCCAGGCAGACUCCAUUACAUCAAAUCGCACAGACUCCCUCACCGGUGAGGACUCUUUGCUUGACUAUUCUAUUCUGUCUAACCCCGCGGCCGACCUCCUUGAUGAGUUUGCUCCAGUAACUCUUUCUGCUCCAGCAUCUGCAGGUCUACUACAAGCUUCCCAGCCUUUCCAUAUGGGAAAUGAUGGGAUUUUUAAAGGUCCUAGUUCUGCAGCAUGUCUCUUAUCAUCUGAAUUAGAAUUAAAGCUGGAGAGUCCAUCGAAAGGCCCAUCUAGUUGCAGUUCAUUUCACAGCAGUGAAGAAGAAGGCACUGACCAUGAGCCAGACCUUUUGGAUUGUAGUGGUUCCAGACCUCUCUUAAUGGACUCGGAUGAGGAGGAGGGGUCAAAGAAAGUUAAGGAUGCAGCAUUUCCCAAUUCUGAAGAGCCUACUUCUAGCCAGGGCAAUCCUAUGUACACUCCAUCAGAAAGGAUGGCCCAUAUGCCUGCAGGAGACUUUGGUACAGAGGUAGAUGUCUUUGCCACAGCGCCAUUCAAAAGUUCAAAAAUAUCAAAGGAUGAUUCUGAUAUAUUCACCAAUGCUCCAUUUUUCGGUAAGUCCUCAACUUCUUUAAACCAGCUGGAGGAACCUGAUGUGUUCCUCAGAGCACCUUUUACAAGGAAGAUUAGCGUUGAAGACCCCUCCUGUGCUCAAGCACAUCAUUCUGUAAAAGGAGGUGAAGUGACGGCAGUGGGAAAUUCUACAUUCCGAAAUACUGACUUAAAGGUGGGAGGCAGUUCCAUGAAGACUUCGUACACUACUGGAAACCUUUAUGCACAUUCCAGCAGAAGCAUUGAACCAGCUGAAGCCUCUCUGUAUCUAAACGCUACUAAGGAGCUACACAGUGCUGAAAACCAUAAGAUUCCUGGUCAUGAGGCAUCUCAAGAGACUGUGUUUGGGACUGUGGUAACCAAACCAUUCUGCCCUCAGUCUUUAUCCAAGUAUUCCCGGCACUACAGUCCGCAAGAAGGACAGGCUGUGGAAGCACAGCCCAUUGCUGCUUACAAAGUAGUGUCUCAUUCUGCAAAAGCCUCUGUAGCUGGAUCUAUUCCCAUCACCCCAGUGACUUAUAGAACUUCAGAGGUUGCAAAUGCAGAUCCAUUUGGCUUGGCUCCAUUUCCUGCCAAAGCUGGAAGACAAAAUCCGUAGUAUAGUUUAGAUUUACGCAUAGGACAACUGGAUUUACGGAAUGCGUUUACCUUCUUCACUUACAUGAUGGAUACACUGCUUCUGAAUAGCUACCAAUACUCUACCCUCUCAUCUUUAAUCCUAAUGACUACAAUUUUUUUUUUUUUUUUUUCCCCAUAGAUACUGUGAAUCAUUUGUAAGGCUAGCACAAGAUAUCAUAAUUAGGCCUUUUGCCUAAAGAUUCAAGCAAUUUACUGUACUGGUAUCAUGUAGUGUGUCUUUUUACCUUGAUUUGCCUAUAGAAAAUGUCCAGCAUGAUGUUAUUUUAAAGGGGUUUUCCAGGAGUUUUAUACGGAUGACCUAUCCUCAGGUCUGAUCGGUUGAGGUCCGAAACCCGGGACCCCUGCUGAUCAGCUGUUUGAGAAGGCAGCGGCGUUCGCAGUAGCGCUUAAGUAUUUGAGCUCAGCCCCAUUCACUUCUACAGGCCUGAGCUGUGCCUAGGCCAUGUGACCAAUGAACGUGACGCCACAUGGCCUAGGCAAAGCUGGAGAAGGCUGCCACGCUACUGCAAACGUGGGUGCCGUCUCAAACAGCUGAUCGGUGCAGUCCUGGGUGUCAGACCCCCACUGAUCGGAUACUGAUGACCUAUCCUGAGGAUAUCUCAUCAGUAUAAAAGUCUUGGGAAACUCCUUUAAAACCAAAAUUCUGUGCUGAUCAAUUUCUUUAUAUAUCUUUAUAGCACUCUGAGCUCUGUAUAAAAAAAUAAAGCUGUAAAAAAUGUUGAGAAAAUAGUCGGUACAGAAUUUUUGAAUUAUGUAGAAAAAAAGAUUUCCGCACCUUCUGAUUUUGGUGGGACUGGAUGGUUAUCUAAUGUGUACAGGGGACUCCUGACUAUCCCCCACAAAAUGAUAUCUGGAGAAAGAAAGGUCGAGCAUGUUAGAUUUCAGUGGACGAUCCUCAGGGAGGAGGUGUCUGACAGCAACUUCUCCCCUCUCUCCCACAUGCAUGCUCGGCUGAGUUGAGAGAAAUAGGUGACAGCCAAAUCCGCUAUUGUAGGUACAUGUGCACCUUAGUUCAGGUUUGCCAUGAACUUUACAAGUUGUUUGACUUGAUGUGUAAUUCUAAGUAAAGUUGUCACCUAGCCUUGUUCUAAGAUGAGGUAGGCUGCCGAGCGUGUAAGUGAAGGUUAAGGUUGUGAUAGUGACUAGAUGGCAUGGGUGAUACCAUUGCAGUCUGGAUUACAAUGGACUGAAACUAUUAGUCAGAUGUGUGUCACUGUUUUGACAGUGUCUGACAGUCCCAGGGCUUUGAGUACUUCUCGCCUCUCCUGACAUGUCUGUUUUAAUAACGAUUUGCAUUCCCCAUGUAAUAACCAUUCUGGAGCAUCAAUUCUUCGAGCUCUAUGCUGUGCCAUUACGCUAUAUUUCCUGCCAGAAGUACAGCUGGGUGUUACCAGUUGGGGUUGUGUCCCUGCACAGUCUGCUACUAUCCAAUCAAUGCUGCCAGUUUCAGACUGUGCAGAGACACACCCCCUACUGGUAACACUCAGCUGUACCUUUAUACAUAAACUUCUAGUAGACAUAAUAAUGGACAUAGUUAUAAUUAUAGAUACUCCAGAAUGGUAAUUUCAAGCCAAAUACAAUUAUUUACUGGAAACAGACAUGUCUGGAGUGGUGAC